GACGAACGCUGGCGGCGUGCUUAACACAUGCAAGUCGAACGGAAAGGCCCUGCUUUUGUGGGGUGCUCGAGUGGCGAACGGGUGAGUAACACGUGAGUAACCUGCCCUUGACUUUGGGAUAACUUCAGGAAACUGGGGCUAAUACCGGAUAGGAGCUCCUGCUGCAUGGUGGGGGUUGGAAAGUUUCGGCGGUUGGGGAUGGACUCGCGGCUUAUCAGCUUGUUGGUGGGGUAGUGGCUUACCAAGGCUUUGACGGGUAGCCGGCCUGAGAGGGUGACCGGCCACAUUGGGACUGAGAUACGGCCCAGACUCCUACGGGAGGCAGCAGUGGGGAAUAUUGCACAAUGGGCGGAAGCCUGAUGCAGCAACGCCGCGUGCGGGAUGACGGCCUUCGGGUUGUAAACCGCCUUCGCCUAUGACGAAGCGUGAGUGACGGUAAUGGGUAAAGAAGCACCGGCUAACUACGUG
rnacentral:rRNA from 1 species